GUUGUAUAGUUAAGUGACUAAGCGCACAAGGUGGAUGCCUUGGCAAUCAGAGGCGAAGAAGGACGUGCUAAUCUGCGAAAAGCUUGGAUGAGUCGAUAAGAGGCGUUUAAUCCAAGAUAUCCGAAUGGGGAAACCCAGUAGGUGAAGAACCUACUAUCACAUACUGAAUACAUAGGUAUGUGAGGCAAACCGGAGAACUGAAACAUCUAAGUACCCCGGGGAAAAGAAAUCACCGAGAUUUCGUUAGUAGCGGCGAGCGAACGCGAAAGAGCCAGUUAGUGAUAGC
rnacentral:rRNA from 1 species